UGCGCAGGCGGGCUUGUAAGUCAGUGGUGAAAUACUGCCGCUUAACGGUAGAACUGCCAUUGAUACUGCAAGUCUUGAAUAUGGUUGAGGUAGGCGGAAUGUGUCGUGUAGCGGUGGAAUGCAUAGAUAUGACACAGAACGCCGAUUGCGAAGGCAGCUUACUAAGCCAUUAUUGACGCUGAGGCACGAAAGCGUGGGGAGCGAACAGGAUUAGAUACCCUGGUAGUCC
rnacentral:rRNA from 1 species